AUGUCGCGGCCGCUCCCCCCGAUGCUCUCCGUGCCGGAGAAGAAGACGGCCGCCGCCGAGCUCUUUCGCGACCGCCACUUCUUCAACUCCCCCGUCUUCACCGAUCUCCGCGACGCCCGCGCCUCCGUCUCUGCCCCGAACCCCCAAACCCAGCCCCCCUCCUCCAGCCGCGCCCUCCUCCUCCGCUACCACCGGCUCCUCUCCUCCGCGCGGGACGACCCCUGCGCCUUCGACGACAACCUAGCCUUCACCUGGCACGAUGCCUUCAGGCCCAACCUCAAGCACACCUCCGCGUCCCUCCGGUUCGAGAAGGCCGCCGUCGUGUUCAACGUCGGCGCGGCCUCCUCGAGGAUCGCUGCGGCCGUGGACCGGGCGGCGGAGGGAGGGGUCAAGGAGGCUUGCGGGGAGUUCCAGCGCGCGGCGGGGGCGUUCCGUGCGGUGGGGCAGAUGAUGGAGGGGGGGGAGGGGACGGUGGAUAUGAGCCCGGAGGCCGCGGCGAUGCUGGAGCGGCUCAUGCUCGCGCAGGCGCAGGAGUGCUGCUUCGAGCGCGCACUCGCGGCUGGAACGUCGCCGGCGGCGUGCUCCAAGGUGGCCAGGCAGGCUGCCUUGUACUACGAAGAAGCGUAUGCUGCACUGGUUAUCCCUCCAUUGCAGAACCACUUUGAAAGAUCAUGGUUGUCUCACGUCCAGUUGAAGGCUGCUCAAUUCAAUGCAGAAGCUUGCUAUCGGUAUGCUAUUGAAUUGCAUGACAAGAUGGAAAUUGGCGAGGAGAUAGCUCGACUGCAGUUUGGGAUUAAUGCAGUUGUUGAUGCCAAGAGAACUGCCAGGGGAGCUCCCGCUUCCCUUUAUGAUUCUGUUUCCAGGCUAGAACAAGAUAUGAACCAGAACUUGGAGAAGGCAGUGAAUGAGAACAACCGCAUCUAUCUUAUGAGAAUUCCAGCAGCCAAGUUGUUGUCUCCCUUGCCAUCAGCUUCACUUGUCCGGUCUGCUUCCAAGAGUGAGGUCUUGGAUGCAAAAGCAGAAACUGGCCUUUAG
rnacentral:rRNA from 1 species